AUGGUGUGGGAGCUCAGACUAAGAACAGCUACGUGGAGAGAGUCCCAAGGGGCCAGCAUGGGAAAAGACCCUGGAGGCCGCGGAGUCUUACAGAGGGCAUGCGGUGGUUCUUCAGCAUCAGAAAGUCAGAUAACAGCGCUUGGGGAAAUGAGGCGGCCGGACCUAGAAACCAGGAUUGGCACUCCCAGGCCGGGAACGCUCCCUCCUUCACCCUGGCCUCCCCCGCUCAUUCACCUGCAUGCGGACACUAAUUGGAAGAAGCCAAAUGUUCUGUUUAUCACAUCCUAUGGAGCAGCUGGAAAAGGUACUGGAGGGCUCAUCUUGGACUCAAGAAUGGCUCUUACUAGCUGUGGAACCCUGGACAAGUCUCUGCACCAACUCAGGCCUCUGUCUUUAAAAUGGGGAUGACAAUCUCACUUGUCCCCUUUCUUUCCACUCACUACCCCCCAUCCCCCGCACUGGUUCCCACCUAAAGGAAUUGGUUCCUGUUUUCCUGCUCCCUGCAACUGUCAUGAGCAUCUUUUUGUAUGAUGAGUCAGUCUGGCUGUGCUACUCUUCUGAUCAAAAAUGUUCUGUGGUUCCCUGGAUAAAAUAUAUAUUUCUCAGCCUGACCUAGCAAGCCUUCCACAAGGGUGCUAAAGGGAGUUUUCUGCCUUAUUUCAUGUUAUUUACCUCUGUCCACUAUUCUCUACCUCCUGUCACCAUUUUCCACAAAGUCUACAUUAAAAGCCACCUGUAGGAACAUUCCCACUGGACAUGCUCCUCCUGUCUUCCUGGGGUCUAGUCAGGCAGGGCUCCCUUCGUGCCCAUCCCUUCCCCCUUGAAGAGUGACCCUUUGGUUUCUGACUCCUCGGGCUGGCCACACAGGAAGUGCUUUAUAAAGCUGAACAACUUAUCCAUCGUGGGCUCCCUUCCUCUGCCUCCCCUCAAGAAAAAUGCCUUUGAACAAGAAGCCAAUGGAGCAGGGGACCCCGAUAUUCUCUGGUACUCUUCUGUGAGAAUUCUAUCUCCCCUUGACCAGGACUUCCAGGGGGCUGAGAGGUCUCUGUCCCACCAGAAGGGUCUUCGCCCUCACCCCAUCCUCUCCCUUGCCUACCUAGCCAGGCUUGACAAUCUGCUCUGCAGACCCCCCAGUGCCCAGUGGAUAGAAGUUGUGAGGGUCUUCAUAGACACAGCCCCAAAGCUCAAGACCUAGGACUCAGGAACCAGGUAGCUCAUUCCCCACCUGAGGGACCUUGGCAAAAGCACUUUCCCUCUUUGGGCCUCAGUCUCCCCAUCCUAAAAUAGGGCAUCCCCAUGUCCUAAAGGGUUGCAACACUCUAGUCCUCUCUAUUCCC
rnacentral:lncRNA from 1 species